UACGGAGGGUGCAAGCGUUAUCCGGAUUUACUGGGUUUAAAGGGUGCGUAGGCGGGCCUGUAAGUCAGUGGUGAAAUCUUCCCGCUUAACGGGAAAACUGCCAUUGAUACUAUAGGUCUUGAAUUCAGUUGAGGUGGGCGGAAUGUGUCGUGUAGCGGUGAAAUGCUUAGAUAUGACACAGAACGCCGAUUGCGAAGGCAGCUCGCUAAACUGACAUUGACGCUGAGGCACGAAAGCGUGGGGAGCAAACAGG
rnacentral:rRNA from 1 species